CUAAUCAAGCUCGGAGAUAUCUGGUUCUCCUCGAAAGCUAUUUAGGUAGCGCCUCGAGCGAAUACCAUUGGGGGUAGAGCACUGUUAAGGCUAGGGGGUCAUCCCGACUUACCAACCCUUUGCAAACUCCGAAUACCAAUGAGUACUACUCGGGAGACACACGACGGGUGCUAACGUCCGCCGUGAAAAGGGAAACAACCCAGACCACCAGCUAAGGUCCCAAAGUCAUGGUUAAGUGGAAAACGAUGUGGAAAGGCAUAGACAGCUAGGAGGUUGGCUUAGAAGCAGCCACCCUUUAAAGAAAGCGUAAUAG
rnacentral:rRNA from 1 species